GAAGGUAAACUGAACCAUAUAAUGUGACUGCAACGUGACUAUAGGUCAACCAAGGUCAGAACAUAAGGCACUUAGAUGAUCUAGCCGGGGUAUUCAACCUCUAUCUUUAUGUGAAAACCAAAUCAAGAACCUUUUAGUACGGACAAGGAUACUCGUACUUCUUUUACAGAUAUGGCUUAAUAAAAAUGCAUUAAACAAAUGUGAACUCCUGAGGCCUUCCUAUAAUCAUUAAAUA
rnacentral:lncRNA from 1 species